CUGGUCCUGCCAGCUUCACAGGUUGCUGUACAUAGAGGAAUGGUUGGUUGAAAGUGCCCUGCAUAACGCAAGCUCUUUAGGACUCGCAAACAGCCUUAAUCGCAGUAAGGGGGCACAUCAGGGCUGUGAGAAGGCCCCCUUGAGGGCUCGGCACAGGUGAUUCUGGGCUCUCUGUGCUUGCCAGCCUCCUAAAGUAGGUGCCCACUUUCAGAAGCUCUGCACGCCCCACCUGGGCGCCUCUGCUGGAGGUCUGCCUGGCCCGGGGCACCCGUGUGCGCGCGAGGAUUUCUUUUGCAGAGAAUGAAACCACCGUUCCUUUCCGUCCGUGGUCUACUCCGGGGUCCCCAUCCCACGCCAUAUUCUGCUGAUGGAGAAAUGGGAUCUCACCCAAGGAAAGUGACUUGCCAGGGUUACACCACUGGUAAGUGGAGACCUAUGACUUGAACCUGUCUCUAACUCCAGAGACUGUACUUUCUCGAUCUCUCCCAAAAAGGAUGCUUGUAGAAAACGAUGAUUCUGAAAUGGUACAAAUCCCUUUCCCAAAAGGCAUCUCAAAGCCAGCCGCUGCUACUGACUUAUUGAUGGCUAUCACCCAGUGGCCUUGGGGAGGCGGUGGGAAGCCCAACCACUGCCUGUAAUAAGGAGAGACAACUCAGCAUCCACCCUGCAGUGAAUAAUAGAACAAAAAGCUGCCGGCGCCUGCAGGAUCAAAGCACAUGAGCGAUCACAGUGUCUCUGGGUUAAAUAGAUCCGCGAAGGCCAGGCAGCCAGCAGAUGUCAUGGAACUUUUUGGGGGAGAAGUCUGGGUUAUGGAGGAAGCCUCAGCUGGAUUUCAGUACCUUACAAGAUGCUCUUCUGUGGCUCUCUCCUGCUAACCUUCCUUGGACAUGGAAUAAUCUUCCCUUUAUCCUCCCUCUUCACCACUGCUGUUCCCAAAGUCUAAAAAGAUGGGGGCAGGAGGUGAGACAGGAGGGGAUGGGAAAAGAAUACUGGACCAGGAGGCAGGAGACACUGGAUCUGUGAGUGAAGGCAAUGCUGAAUGACUUCCAUGGCCUCAGUCUCCCCAUCUGUAAAAUGGGAAGGUUGAUAUAUGGCCUCAACCUUUCUGCCCACUUUGAUAAACCAUAUUUCACCAAAAAGAGGCAGAGGGGAUCUGUUGCUUUUCAGAUUCCUGUCCAGUUACUUCUAGGUCAGACAGAAUGAUUGCCCCAAUGAUUCUGGGUCCGCAGACUCAGUCUGUGAAACCCCAUUUCUUGGAGGAGUUGGGAUCAGGACAGGCAAGAAGACUAUACUAUUCCUGCCUCCUAUUUGCUCCCUCUUGCCAGUGGGGAAAUCAGUGGCAACCUUAGAGUAAUCUUGGAGGGGUGGGGGGAUGAGUUAUUAUUGGGAUUUUUAUCUGCAAAGAAUAUUUUCAGAUGUUGUUUGUGCAUUUAAAUGUACAUGCAGUUCUAGAGGAGAAGACUCUAGUGGUUGCGGUGCUGUGAGGCAUUUUGCAUAUAUUUAUCUCACUCAAGAAGAACUGUGGGGUCCUUGUGAAAGUAAGUGUGUAUGUGUGUGUGUGUGUGUGUGCGCAUGUCCUGAGUCAGCCUGAGUCCUGAGCCUUUUGUCUUUGCUCCUGAGUAAGCCACUGGGGGAGGUAAAUAUAUAAUUGGAGGAAGAAAUGUGUCAGAAAAUAACUUCUUUACUUGUGGAAAGUCAUUGAAAACCCUUGGUUUUGCGUAUGAGCACAGCACCCUGUAGGCAGGUGAGGAGUCUUAGAACACGGCGGGGAGCGAACCAGACACGUACUAAAGAAACCUCCAUGUUUGAUAUAAACCCAAUGCACAGGUCCACACAGACAGGGCAUGGAGGUGUGCUCCACAGGGCCACCACACGGACCUCUGUGAUGGCAAGCCCGGAUGCAUGUACAACUAAACAUCCUCACAGAUACACUUUAAUGUAGGUGGAGACCUGGUGUUAUGGGUUAGACUAUGUCCCCCCACAAAAUAUAUGCUCAAGUCUCAUCUGCCAUCUACAUUAUUUGGAAAUAGGGUCUUUGCAGAUGUAAACUGGUUAAGAUAAUAAAAAAAAAAAUAAAUAAAUAAAGGUAAUGGCAACAAUGAAAAAAAAAAGUAAGUCAUCCUGGGAUAGGGUGGGAGAGCCCUAAUUCAAUGUGACUGGUGUCCUCGAAAGAAGAGGGGAAUUUGGACACAGAGACACAGCUGAACUUACUGAGCAGAGCCUCCCAGAUGCUGCAAACUCAAGGAGGCCUCUGUGCUCAUAUCUUUAUUCUCUCUCUCUCUCUCUCUCUCUCUGUCUCUGGUACAGCGUUUAUGCUUUUUGGCAGUUCUUUCCUCUUCAUUCCCCCAUCUCUCCAAUUACACAUUCAUAUACACAUAAACACUCCGAUACCCUCAAACUACCAGAAGCCACGUCAGAGACUUGAGAACUUUGGACCAGGAACUGAUGGAGACAAAGAUGACCUAGGAAGAUGGCUACAUUGGGAAUGGAGGCAGAGAUUGGAGUUAUGUGGCCACAAGGGAAGGAACUCCUGGGGCUCCCAGAAGCUGGAAGAAACAAGGAUCCUUCCCCUAUAGGCUUUGGAGGGAGCGUGGCUCUGCAACACCUUGGUUUUGGACUUCUAGCUCCAGAAGUGUAAGAGAAUAAAUUUCUGUGAUCUCAUAUUCAGUUCAUGGUGCUAUAUCAUGGUAGCCCUAGAAACUAAGAUACACAGGUAUGUUGGAUGUAUGGGUCAGGCCCACACCCAGGGUGCAUACGGCCUUUGGUUAAAAAAAAACUCUCAUUUCUGUGGGGAAUCCAUUGCCAGUGGUCUGGAUGACAUGGCCACUGCCUCUCUUCAGGGAUGUGCACAAGACCCUGGCCUGGCCAAUCAGAAUACCUCAUGCCCAGGACCACAGUAACUGGGUCAGGGGUUGUCAAGAUUUAUAUAAAUGAUUUACAUAAAAUGUUUAAAUGUUUUGUUAAAAUAUUUAAAAUAAAAAAUGUUUCUAAGAUUUCAGUUGCCAAUUGUUUUUUGUGAGUAUAUACAAAUACAACUGAUUUUUACAUAUUGGUUUUGUAUCCUGUAUACUUGCUAAAUUCAUGCAUUAGUUGUAUUUUUCUAGAUUUCUUAGAAUUUUCUAUGUACACAAAUCACAAUGUCUGUGAAUAUACACGACAUUACUUCUUCGUUUCCAAAACUUAUGCUUUUCACUUCUUGUUCUUGCCUUGUUGCACUGGGUAGAACCUCAGUUGUAUAUUAAAUAUAUUUUUUAAAAAGGUAGACAUUUGAGCCUUGUUUCCAAUCUUGGGAAGACACUAUUCAGUCUUUUGCCCUUGUCUGCUUCUAAGCUGCCAAAGCCUGUGCUGUGGUGGGGAAAUGUCACUCUGUGGGCCAGCCAUGGUGUGAGUGUGCAGAUGGGACAGCAGCAGCAGGUGCAUUCUCCUGGGAGGCCAGGCCUGGUGGCAGGCAUCUGUAAUCCCUGCUAUUUGGGAGGCUGAAGCUGGAGGGUGGCUUGAGCCUGGGAGUUCGAGUCCAGCCUGAGCCACACAGCGAGACACUGUCUCUUAAAACAAAAAAUAAAAAACAAAACCAACAACCCCCACGCCUGCCUGCCAAAUUUUCCUGGGGAAGGCAAGACACACAAUUAAGAAAGUAAACAUUAUGUCAUCCUUGUCUGUAUCUCAGUAGCCAUAGUUGUGGAUUCCUUCAGUUCUCUCUUGGUAGAAGGUGGGGCCUGAAUAAAUGACGACAUAAAGCCAGCUGAACUUAGUGAGCAGAGCCUCCCAGAUGCUGCAAACUCAAGGAGGCCUCUGUGCUCAGAUCUUUAUUUUCUCUCUCUCUCUCUCUCUGUCUCUGGCACAGCGUUUAUGCUUUUUGGCAGUUCUUUCCUCUUCAAUCCCCCAUCUCUUCAAUUACACAUUCAUGUACACAUCAACACUCCGAUACCCUCAAACUACCAGAAGCCACAUCAGAGACUUGAGAGCUUUGGACCAGGAACUGAUGGAGACAAAGACGACCUAGGAAUGGUUGCUUGCCCUACCCUCAGGAGUUUACAAUUACUGAUAGAGACAGAAGUCUUUGCAGGAGGUGGGGGGCGGGGGGUAGGAGAAACUUUACAAACACACCUGUCAGCAUACACAGGGAUAAUAAUAGGAAAGGGGGUUUUCAUACAAGGGAAGCAUCUGGAAACUGGGAGGG
rnacentral:lncRNA from 1 species